rnacentral:rRNA from 1 species
CUGCUACCUCUUACCCAUGUCUUUUGAGUACCUUCGUUUCCUCGGCGGGUCCGCCCGCCGAUUGGACAACAUUCAAACCCUUUGCAGUUGCAAUCAGCGUCUGAAAAAACAUAAUAGUUACAACUUUCAACAACGGAUCUCUUGGUUCUGGCAUCGAUGAAGAACGCAGCGAAAUGCGAUAAGUAGUGUGAAUUGCAGAAUUCAGUGAAUCAUCGAAUCUUUGAACGCACAUUGCGCCCCUUGGUAUUCCAUGGGGCAUGCCUGUUCGAGCGUCAUUUGUACCUUCAAGCUCUGCUUGGUGUUGGGUGUUUGUCUCGCCUCUGCGUGUAGACUCGCCUUAAAACAAUUGGCAGCCGGCGUAUUGAUUUCGGAGCGCAGUACAUCUCGCGCUUUGCACUCAUAACGACGACGUCCAAAAGUACAUUUUUACACUCUUGACCUCGGAUCAGGUAGGGAUACCCGCUGAACUUAAGCAUAU